AUUGAACGCUGGCGGCAGGCCUAACACAUGCAAGUCGAGCGGAUGAAGGUAGCUUGCUACCUGAUUCAGCGGCGGACGGGUGAGUAAUGCCUAGGAAUCUGCCUGGUAGUGGGGGACAACGUUUCGAAAGGAACGCUAAUACCGCAUACGUCCUACGGGAGCAAGUGGGGGAUCUUCGGACCUCACGCUAUCAGAUGAGCCUAGGUACGAUUAGCUAGUUGGUGAGGUAAAGGCUCACCAAGGCGACGAUCGUUAACUGGUCUGAGAGGAUGAUCAGUCACACUGGAACUGAGACACGGUCCGGACUCCUACGGGAGGCAGCAGUGGGGAAUAUUGGACAAUGGGCGAAAGCCUGAUCCAGCCAUGCCGCGUGUGUGAAGAAGGUCUUCGGAUUGUAAAGCACUUUAAGUUGGGAGGAAGGGCAGUAAGUUAAUACCUUGCUGUUUCGACGUUACCGACAGAAUAAGCACCGGCUAACUUCGUGCCAGCCGCCGCAGUAACAC
rnacentral:rRNA from 1 species